GGGGGGAGCGCCAGAUCUUGAGCUGUGUCCCCAGCGCCCUGUGCUCCUCGGCCUGUGCUGUUGGAAUCGUGCUCCCGGCAGUGCAGCUCCCU
rnacentral:pre_miRNA from 1 species